rnacentral:rRNA from 1 species
UACGUAGGUCCCGAGCGUUGUCCGGAUUUAUUGGGCGUAAAGCGAGCGCAGGUGGUUUAUUAAGUCUGGUGUAAAAGGCAGUGGCUCAACCAUUGUAUGCAUUGGAAACUGGUGGACUUGAGUGCAGGAGAGGAGAGUGGAAUUCCAUGUGUAGCGGUGAAAUGCGUAGAUAUAUAGAGGAACACCGGUGGCGAAAGCGGCUCUCUGGCCUGUAACUGACACUGAGGCUCGAAAGCGUGGGGAGCAAACAGG